rnacentral:rRNA from 1 species
AAUNCAGUUCGAGCGGCAGCGNAGAGUAGCUUGCUACUUUGCCCGGCGAGCGGCGAGGACGGGUGAGUAAUGUCUGGGAAACUGCCUGAUGGAGGGGGAUAACUACUGGAAACGGUAGCUAAUACCGCAUAACGUCGCAAGACCAAAGGAGAGGGGGACCUUCGGGCCUCUUGCCAUCANAUGUGCCCAGAUGGGAUUANCUAGUANGUGGGGUAACGGCUCACCUAGGCNAACNAUCCCUANCUGGUCUGAGAGGAUGACCANCCACACUGGAAUGACUGANACACGGUCCANACUCCUAACGGGAGGCAGCAGUGGGGAAUAUUGCCAAUUCAGGCACANUGGGCGCAAGCCUGAUGCANCCAUGCCGCGUGUAUGAAGAAGGCCUUCGGGUUGUAAAGUACUUUCAGCGGGGANGAAGGUGUUGAGGUUAAUAACCUCAGCNAUUGACGUUACCCGCANAANAAGGCACCGGCUAACUCCGUGCCAGCANCCUGCGGUAAUACNGAGGGUGCAAGCGUUNAUCNGAAUUACUGGGCGUAAAGCGCACAGCAGGCGGUCUGUCAAGUCAGAUGUGAAAUCCCCGGGCUCAACCUGGGAACUGCNUUCNAAACUGGCAGGCUAGANUCCUUGUAGAGGGGGGUANAGAUUCCNGGUGUAGCGGUGAAAUGCGUAAACGUAGANAUCUGGANGAAUAUACCGGUGGCGAANGCGGCCCCCUGGACACAA